AGAUAGCCANGCAUGUCUAGUACAUGCCGUAUUAAGGCGAAACCGCGAAUGGCUCAUUAAAUCAGUCAUGGUUCCUUGGAUCGUACCUUACUACUUGGAUAACUGUGGCAAUUCUAGAGCUAAUACAUGCAGCAGAGCUCCGACCUUCGGGGACGAGCGCUUUUAUUAGACCAAAACCAAUCGGACCUCGUGUCCGUCUCUUGUGGUGACUCUGUAUAACUUUGGGCUGAUCGCACGGGCCUGUCCCGGCGACGUAUCUUUCAAGUGUCUGCCUUAUCAACUUUCGAUGGUAGGUUACGUGCCUACCAUGGUCGUAACGGGUAACGGGGAAUCAGGGUUCGAUUCCGGAGAGGGAGCCUGAGAAACGGCUACCACAUCCAAGGAAGGCAGCAGGCGCGCAAAUUACCCACUCCCAGAUCGGGGAGGUAGUGACGAAAAAUAACAAUACGGGACUCUUUUGAGACCCCGUAAUUGGAAUGAGUACACUCUAAAUCCUUUAACGAGGAUCCAUUGGAGGGUAAGUCUGGUGCCAGCAACCGCGGUAAUUCCAGCUCCAAUAGCGUAUAUUAAAGUUGUUGCGGUUAAAAAGCUCGUAGUUGGAUCUCAGUUCCAGACGGGUGGUCCACCUACCGGUGGUUACUGCCUGUUCUGAACAGUCAGCCGGUUUCUCUUGAUGAUCUUCACCGGUUGUCUUGGGUGACCGGCAAGUUUACUUUGAAAAAAUUAGAGUGCUCAAAGCAGGCGUGACGCCUGAAUAAUGGUGCAUGGAAUAAUGGAAUAGGACCUCGGUUCUAUUUUGUUGGUUUUCGGAACACGAGGUAAUGAUUAAGAGGGACAGACGGGGGCAUUCGUAUUGCGACGCUAGAGGUGAAAUUCUUGGACCGUCGCAAGACGACUACUGCGANAUUUUUUUUUCCCANNAAAAA
rnacentral:rRNA from 1 species